CAUGGCUCAGGAUGAACGCUAGCUACAGGCUUAACACAUGCAAGUCGCGGGGCAGCAUGUUGGUUGCUUGCAACCGAUGAUGGCGACCGGCGCACGGGUGAGUAACGCGUAUCCAACCUACCUAUUACCACGGGAUAACCCGGCGAAAGUCGGACUAAUACCGUAUGUGGUCUUCCUAUGGCAUCAGCAGUAGACCAAAGGUUUGGCGGUAAUAGAUGGGGAUGCGUCCGAUUAGUUAGUUGGCGGGGUAACGGCCCACCAAGACGUCGAUCGGUAGGGGUUCUGAGAGGAAGGUCCCCCACACUGGAACUGAGACACGGUCCAGACUCCUACGG
rnacentral:rRNA from 1 species